CGGCCGGUUCGCCCCGAGCCGCGGCGGCGGCGCCCGAGGCCGCCCGAAUUCGGCCGGAAGUUGGAAGCCGUCGCCUGCGCGCACGCGAGACGAGGAGGGAGAGGGGGGGAGAGAGGGGCGCGUCGGAGCUUUGUACUUUCCGCCCGUCUCAUCGGGAAUUCCUGCCGGAAUCGCACACUGCCGCCAUGGCCGAUCCUUUAUCCGCUCGUGCACGUACUUUGUACGUAUGCACGUGCGGCGCACGAGUGUAGAAUGUGUAGAUGCCGAUGAGCAGGUAUGCGCGCAUGUGUGUACGGCUCAUACGAGGGCGUGUGCGUGAAUCCGCACGGGCCACCGACCGCGGCUCGACCGAAAUUUUCUUCGCAAUUGGCGUUAAAGAUCGUUGCUGGCCGGUCAUGGACAAAGCCGUGGAUGAAAUUUCGGCUGGACGGAAGUGUAAAUGAGAAAAGGGCGGCUGGGAUCGAAAAGGGGGGAGAUUUUAUCGGGGAGAAAGAGGGGGGGGAGACAUGAAAGGACACGCUGCUGCAUUUUUUCGCUGCGGAAUUGAAAGGGAUAAAAAGUUGACGCCUCUCGUGCCUCUCUCGAUUAUUCGCUUCACACGUGAUUCCAAUAAAAAUUUAAAUUGACAUGAAGAAAAUGCGACGGAAUGCUUCGUCAAGGACCAGAGAAUCAUUCUAUGCUCGUCUGGUCAAUUUUAUGCGUUCGUCGGCCAGUCUCGAGAAUCAUCGCUGCAGUCACGUGUAAUUUUAGACGAAAAUUUCGAGAAAACGAGCGCGAUUUUCGCGAACGCUCCUCGCUCUUCGGGGAUCCUCCACCAAACUUCCCGAAUUAGAAAUGCGGAGGAGACGAGACAAAUAUAGAGGGUGUCCCAGAUUCAUCGCAGUUCCUUUCACGUGCUAUUCACGAUCGGUUCUUCGAGCGGCUCCCAUAUUAGGUACAUAAAUCAGCGCCUGCUUUCUUCAAGUGUGGUCUGCGAGCCGUCUUUUACGUAACCGCGGAUCGGCAUCUCGAUCUAUUUCUCGAUUCGACGUAGCGAUCGUCUCACGCAUAAGCCAUAGACAUCCCAGCGCCACCUUCGUGUCCUGCAAAUUCUAACGUCUGCGAGGGCAGCGCGCAAACACGUUUUCGCAAUCGAUAUUAUCCCGGGUUGAAAGGACGAGGAUACGCAAAAAGGAUUCUCCUCUGAUCGGGGAACCGAGAGAAGGAGAGGUACAAGAGACAAAGUCGAAUGCAAAUGCGACUAAUAAUAUGCGAGAAACGUUAUAAAGGCACUCGACGUCAAAGGGUACGGGGGCGGGUACUUUAAGCGGCUGCAUUUAGAACCAAGAACGUCGGUCCCUCUCCCCUCUUCCUCCCCCUCUCUCCCUCUUCCCUCCUUUUUUUCUCCGUCUCGCUCCGGCAGAGUCGCAUCGAGCCGUCCGUUAACAAGACGGCCGAUAAACUCUUGACGAUUUUAGUUAUGCAUCCUGGCGAGUGCCCGGGCACAAAGAAGAUUCUCUCGAUUCCGGUCGCUACUCGGCUCCACUCGGCCCUAACAAGAUAUCCGACCUCUUGGUUUAUUUGCACGCGGAGAGCGGAGAAUUACCGGGGCGAUCAAAUAAAUUCAGCCGCCCUUCCCGCGGAGGUUCUGCGCUUCGAAACUGCUUAGCGCACAAGUUGGAGUUGAAAAUUGUUUAAUUAUCGUGAAAUCGAUGACGGAUGCGGAAUCUGUGGCUGACGAUACAUCCGCAGCUUUCUCGUUUCUCUCUUUCCUCGGCGUAUUCUUAUAUUUGACUACAUGGAUGAUACGAUAAAAGCUAUCGGAAAGCGCUUUACGUGCUUGCGUGACACGAGCAGAGAUUUUCAAAGUCAGUUAAAAGACACGUCAAUGACUUGUGAAAGAUAGCACAGAACACACGACAGCUAUGAUAAUGCAUGUCACUCACUUAUCUUUCUCUAACCCUCUCCUGCGGACAUUUAGAGUCUCCUUAUACAAAUAUUGAACCUUUCUCGAGAAAGAAAUAUAAAAAGAAAUGUGAAAAUUUCUCUUGCGAACGGGCGGUUAAUGAAUCAGCAUUAAAGAUAAACUUUAAUUUCGUCAAAUAAAAAAGUCGACUUUGAACAUUUCAAGAGGGAAUGAUGUAUAUUGUUUAGUCUUAUAUGGUUCAAUAUUUUUUGAGGGAAAAAAAUGAUGAGUCGCACAACCGAAUGAAAAAAAAGCCACGAGGAAAUUUCCCAACAGCCGGUAGAUGCUCCAGGGAAAUCAAAAGUCUGCGGAUGUGAUCGAUACGAAAAUUUGACCAAUAAAAAACGUACGACGGAGCUUUACGAAUUUCGUCCGAUAUCGUCACGCGGCGCAUACGAUGCGUUUUUGUUUCGUGAUCAGAGCCAUUUCGAAUCGCGGAAGAUUGAUAGUAUUUAAUGGGUUCAAACAGCUGCAACGGCGCGAAAUUAAAUUCCCGGCCGUAUCGCUCGUUAACAGGAAUUUAAUGGCGAUCCGUCGAAUAUGUAUAUACAGAAUUAUUCAUUGCGCGACGAUAUGAAAUUGGAAGAGAUAGAGUAAGAAAUAGAUAGAUAGAUAGAUAGAUAGAGAGAGAGAAUCAGAGGCGGCAGAUCGAGUCUUGCACGUAAUUUCAUUCGAGAGCCAACUAAAUCUUGUAAUUUGAGACCAGGUAGCAUCGUUUAACGUGUAUGAACUACGGCGGCAGAGAUGCAGAGAUGUCAAGUGGAGAGGGCGAAAGGACUCUACGUGGACAGUUGACAGGAAGCAAAAGGAAUGUAGGAAGAGAGACGGAGGAAGAAGGAAAAGAUAGAAGAUGGAACAGACUGGCAGAGAAGAUAAGAUGCGACUACGAGAGUGGAGAGAUGAGAUAAGACAAGACAUGGUUGUAUACCAAAGAUGUGUCAUAGAGGUAGAGAGACAGAGAAAGAGAGAAAUAGGAACGGAAUAGGGACGAGAAAGGAGAAGGGGAGAGAGAGAUUAGGAUUCUUGAGCCAACGAACAAACGAAUAGUUCGUCUACUAUCGCUUUUAUCGUCGAGAUUUGCUUACUGUCGUACAACUCGUUUGCCAUCGCGUCAUGCUCUCGAUGUCCAGUGCGAUUAUUAUCGCAUUGACAUCACCCAUUAUACAUUAUGCUCGCAAACGUCACAGUACAUUCGCAAUGGUUGUCUCGCGUCUUCCUACAUAAAAAUUAUUAAAAGAAUCACAUCCUAUUUAUAUUCCCAUCUCUCCUUCCUUCUUCUUUACUUAAGAACGUAGAUGAAACGUGAAUGAAAAAAAUUUCUAGAAAGAGAAAGACAUAGAGGGGAAAGAAAUUUAGGGAUGCAGGUCCAUCAUCCUGCUGAGAUGAAACGCAUGAUAAUUUGAUACGAGAAGAGAUAUUACGCGCGCGGCGAAUCCGUGAAACUGUUUAUAUUAAGCUUCGAUAUCAGAAGUGGCGGAGAGCAGAUAUAUCCACUAUUCUACCACGAAUGAUUGAGCAAUUGCAUCGGGAAACACACUGUAGCGUACGUGCUCUAUCUGCUUUCAUAGACUUUGCGGUUGCAGAUAUAGGAAGUGAAAUCAAGUGUCGCGAGAAGCUAGGAUAAUAUUAGUACCAAGUCCUUAUCAGUGAAUAACGAGAGAUGUAAGCGACCGGUUCUCUAACAAGCCCAUUGAAAAUACCGGAGAUGUUACUCUCUGAUUCUAUCCCCAUCUCCUUCUCUUUCUCUCUCUUUCUCUCUCUUAUAAAUGCGCGCUAUUUAUACAUCCGUAUAUAAGUGUGCCGACACACACCGUAUGCCUGAAAUUUUAAUGCCGAGAAAUACAUUCGUCGACUCGUAUACGCCGAGCUAUAUCCGACCUAGAACUAUAUCGCGCGUAUCGCGACCGAGGGCAAGAGAAGGGUGAGAUGCAGUGGAAUAGUUGUAUGGUGUUCACAGAAUAUGAUAACAAAUAUAUGAAACAUCAGGCUGAUA